UGCAUUUCCUCAUAAAUUAUCGAUAUGUUGAAUAAAGCAGGGACCAGUAGAGGGAAGGCGAGCCGAAUGGUGGCUGGGACUAAAACGGGGUCCAAAACAGGAUACUCGAACCGGGUGAGGACUGUGACUGAAUCGGUGAUCCGUACAAGGCCUUCGAGGUGGAUAGCCCGCGGAUAUAGAAUCUCAUACCGCAGAACCUCGAUCACUGUGGAGAAAUCGAGGAGUGGUUUGUGUAGGAUUUUGACGGAAGUUCGCAGCUAUUGCUACUCCGCCUUCAACAGAGCCGGCUAUCGUUCCUCGGUCCGCCCUCGACGGGGCUAAAAACAAUACGAAUUCGAAGAACAACAAAGACAACUAAUCUUGUUGGCUAUUUUCGGAAUAUGAUCCUUCUAUGUGCUUUCGAUGAAUCCCUGUUAAUUAAUCGAGAGGAGUUUGUAUGUACUAUGAGUGAAUCAAUCUAUUUUCCAAUUUCGUAGCAUUACUUAAA